CAACGCCGCGUGGGUGAAGAAGGCCUUCGGGUUGUAAAGCCCUUUUGAGGGGGAAGAUAAUGACGGUACCCUUCGAAUAAGCCUCGGCUAACUACGUGC
rnacentral:rRNA from 1 species